rnacentral:rRNA from 1 species
UACGAGGGGGGCUAGCGUUGCUCGGAAUCACUGGGCGUAAAGCGCACGUAGGCGGAUUGCUAAGUCAGGGGUGAAAUCCUGGAGCUCAACUCCAGAACUGCCUUUGAUACUGGCGAUCUCGAGUCCGGGAGAGGUGAGUGGAACUGCGAGUGUAGAGGUGAAAUUCGUAGAUAUUCGCAAGAACACCAGUGGCGAAGGCGGCUCACUGGCCCGGUACUGACGCUGAGGUGCGAAAGCGUGGGGAGCAAACAGG